rnacentral:rRNA from 1 species
GACGAACGCUGGCGGCGUGCCUAAUACAUGCAAGUCGAACGAACUCUGGUAUUGAUUGGUGCUUGCAUCAUGAUUUACAUUUGAGUGAGUGGCGAACUGGUGAGUAACACGUGGGAAACCUGCCCAGAAGCGGGGGAUAACACCUGGAAACAGAUGCUAAUACCGCAUAACAACUUGGACCGCAUGGUCCGAGUUUGAAAGAUGGCUUCGGCUAUCACUUUUGGAUGGUCCCGCGGCGUAUUAGCUAGAUGGUGAGGUAACGGCUCACCAUGGCAAUGAUACGUAGCCGACCUGAGAGGGUAAUCGGCCACAUUGGGACUGAGACACGGCCCAAACUCCUACGGGAGGCAGCAGUAGGGAAUCUUCCACAAUGGACGAAAGUCUGAUGGAGCAACGCCGCGUGAGUGAAGAAGGGUUUCGGCUCGUAAAACUCUGUUGUUAAAGAAGAACAUAUCUGAGAGUAACUGUUCAGGUAUUGACGGUAUUUAACCAGAAAGCCACGGCUAACUACGUGCCAGCAGCCGCGGUAAUACGUAGGUGGCAAGCGUUGUCCGGAUUUAUUGGGCGUAAAGCGAGCGCAGGCGGUUUUUUAAGUCUGAUGUGAAAGCCUUCGGCUCAACCGAAGAAGUGCAUCGGAAACUGGGAAACUUGAGUGCAGAAGAGGACAGUGGAACUCCAUGUGUAGCGUGAAAUGCGUAGAUAUAUGGAAGAACACAGUGGCGAAAGCGGCUGUCUGGUCUGUAACUGACGCUGAGGCUCGAAAGUAUGGGUAGCAAACAGGAUUAGAUACCCUGGUAGUCCAUACCGUAAACGAUGAAUGCUAAGUGUUGGAGGGUUUCCGCCCUUCAGUGCUGCAGCUAACGCAUUAAGCAUUCCGCCUGGGGAGUACGGCCGCAAGGCUGAAACUCAAAGGAAUUGACGGGGGCCCGCACAAGCGGUGGAGCAUGUGGUUUAAUUCGAAGCUACGCGAAGAACCUUACCAGGUCUUGACAUACUAUGCAAAUCUAAGAGAUUAGACGUUCCCUUAGGGGACAUGGAUACAGGUGGUGCAUGGUUGUCGUCAGCUCGUGUCGUGAGAUGUUGGGUUAAGUCCCGCAACGAGCGCAACCCUUAUUAUCAGUUGCCAGCAUUAAGUUGGGCACUCUGGUGAGACUGCCGGUGACAAACCGGAGGAAGGUGGGGAUGACGUCAAAUCAUCAUGCCCCUUAUGACCUGGGCUACACACGUGCUACAAUGGAUGGUACAACGAGUUGCGAACUCGCGAGAGUAAGCUAAUCUCUUAAAGCCAUUCUCAGUUCGGAUUGUAGGCUGCAACUCGCCUACAUGAAGUCGGAAUCGCUAGUAAUCGCGGAUCAGCAUGCCGCGGUGAAUACGUUCCCGGGCCUUGUACACACCGCCCGUCACACCAUGAGAGUUUGUAACACCCAAAGUCGGUGGGGUAACCUUUUAGGAACCAGCCGCCUAAGGUGGGACAGAUGAUUAGGGUGAAGUCGUAACAAGGUAGCCGUAG